CCUACGGGAGGCAGCAGUGGGGAAUAUUGCACAAUGGGGGAAACCCUGAUGCAGCGACGCCGCGUGAGUGAAGAAGUAAUUCGUUAUGUAAAGCUCUAUCAGCAGGGAAGAAAAUGACGGUACCUGAGUAAGAAGCCCCGGCGAACUACGUGCCAGCAGCCGCGGUAAUACGUAGGGGGCAAGCGUUAUCCGGAUUUACUGGGUGUAAAGGGAGCGUAGACGGAAGUGCAAGUCUGGAGUGAAAGGGGGGGGCUCAACCCCCGGACUGCUCUGGAAACUGUACGGCUGGAGUGCAGGAGAGGUAAGUGGAAUUCCUAGUGUAGCGGUGAAAUGCGUAGAUAUUAGAAGGAACACCAGUGGCGAAGGCGGCUUACUGGACUGUAACUGACGUUGAGGCUCGAAAGCGUGGGGAGCAAACAGGAUUAGAUACCCCAGUAGUC
rnacentral:rRNA from 1 species